rnacentral:rRNA from 1 species
CACGUAGGGUGCGAGCGUUGUCCGGAAUUAUUGGGCGUAAAGAGCUCGUAGGCGGUGUGUCGCGUCGGCCGUGAAAACCUGGGGCUUAACUCUGGGCUUGCGGUCGAUACGGGCAUCACUGGAGUUCGGCAGGGGAGACUGGAAUUCCUGGUGUAGCGGUGAAAUGCGCAGAUAUCAGGAGGAACACCGGUGGCGAAGGCGGCGCUCUGGACCGAGACUGACGCUGAGGCGCGAAAGCGUGGGGAGCAAACAGG